CCUCGGCUGACGUCCCGCAGAAACGCCUGCCCGGACCAGAGCCGCCAGCCCUCGGGCACAAAAGCGCGUUCCCGACCCAGCUGCUCGGCUUCUCCCAGGAGGGCCUUUCCGGCGGGGGUCUCGGGAAGCAGGGGAGAUGUCGGCGCCAGCAGACCCCAUGGGGGCAAAAGCCCCCGGGUCACCUCUUUCUGCAGAAAAGGCCAGCAGCCUCCUCUCCUCUGGGGGAUCCCAGGCCCUGGUCACCGUCGGCGGCCGGGCCCGGACAACGCCUCCCGCCCACAGCCGCCCCUCCCCCGCCGCCCGCGCCUCCUUAGCCGCCCAGCUCCUGCUUCUCACCCGUCCUGCCCGCGAGCGGCAUCCAGGUUAUCUGGAAGUCAUGGAAGAUUUCUCUUCGCCUAGAACAGGAAACAGCCCUCCCAAGAGAAGUGAGGAAGCCCCACGCAGAUUUUCUGCUGGACAAGCGGCAACAGAGGCAAAUGCAGAAGGUAUUUGGUAAAGAAGUGCUGGGUUAUUCUUUGAAUCUGUGUCGUGGAAAAUUUGAUUUGUUAGUUCGCCUGCCUGACAACAUAAUCAUACAGAUCUUCUCUUUUCUGGAUUUGAAUGAUAUUGGGCAACUGUCAAAAACCUGUAAAAAAUUUCAAAAGAUGUGCAGCAGUGAAGAAUUCUGGGAGAAAUUUAGAACUUUGCAAGAUAAACAUGCUUUUGAUGCAAAGAAAAUAGGGAUAACAAUUUACAAGAAGCUGCUGGCUUUCCACCAAAAUGCAGCCCAUCAGAAGCCAGUGCAGAGAAGACAGACUGCAUUUUUCUAAACUUAAUUAGAGCAACAAAAUAAAAAAUUAAAUUGAAUUUUCAUUUAAA